UACAGAGGGGGCAAGCGUUGUUCGGAAUUACUGGGCGUAAAGGGCGCGUAGGCGGCCUGUUAAGUCGAACGUGAAAUCCCCGGGCUCAACCCGGGAACUGCGUCCGAUACUGGCAGGCUUGAAUCCGGGAGAGGGAUGCGGAAUUCCAGGUGUAGCGGUGAGAUGCGUAGAUAUCGAGAGGAACACCGGUGGCGAAGGCGGCAUCCUGGACCGGUAUUGACGCUGAUGCGCGAAAGCCAGGGGAGCAAACGGG
rnacentral:rRNA from 1 species